UACGUAGGGGGCAAGCGUUGUCCGGAAUCAUUGGGCGUAAAGCGCGUGUAGGCGGCGCGGUAAGUCUGGUGUGAAAUCUUGGGGCUCAACCCCAAGCGUGCACCAGAUACUGCCGUGCUCGAGUCCGGGAGAGGGAAGCGGAAUUCCUAGUGUAGCGGUGAAAUGCGCAGAUAUUAGGAAGAACACCGGUGGCGAAGGCGGCUUCCUGGAACGGUACUGACGCUGAGACGCGAAAGCGUGGGGAGCGAACAGG
rnacentral:rRNA from 1 species